GAAAAGUCUCUAUCGAGGUUAAAGGUACCCGUACCGCAAACCGACACAGGUGGGUGAGGAGAGUAUCCUAAGGCCCGCGAGAGAACUGUUGUUAAGGAACUCGGCAAAAUGACCCCGUAACUUAGGGCUAAGGGGUGCCACCAUCCGGUGGCCGCAGAGAAUAGGCCCAAGCGACUGUUUACCAAAAACAUAGGUUUCUGCUAAGUCGCAAGACGAUGUAUAGGAGCUGACGCCUGCCCGGUGCUGGAAGGUUAAGGGGAUCUGUUAGAGCAAUCGAAGCAGUGAACUUAAGCCCCAGUAAACGGCGGCCGUAACUAUAACGGUCCUAAGUUAGCGAACUUCCUUGUCGGGUAAGUUCCGACCCGCACGAACGGCGUAA
rnacentral:rRNA from 1 species